GUUUGUUUUAUUUUGAAGCAAUCUGUGACCGUUACUUGACGACUGCUUUAAGCUGAUUGGUUGAUCACUUGAUUUUAAAUCGCAUUGUUUUUUCCACCAUGUUUGUUACAGAUUUUUGCACUGCUGUUUGAUAUUUAUAAACUGCACUAAAAUCAACCAAUCACAGUCGAGUAAUAUUUUUAUGUGUAUUAUUAGGUAGAGAAACAGCACACCGCUGGUGAAAUAUUUGUCCUUGCAAAACUAUUCAAAUUUAAUUGGGUUUUUUACUCCUAGUAUAAAGUAUAAAACAAAUCAAAGGCCGUUGAGGGCGACAAACGGAUGAGAUCAAAUGAAAGUGACAGAAAGAAUUAGAGCAGUUUGCAGUUGUUUUUGCAAACGGGACCGUGCGAAUUUUGGCAUUUGUCGUACUCCUUUCGCCAAAUCAAAAGAACGAACGCGUGCCCCAGCCCGAUUCGCAGGCAAACAGUGCGCGCAAAUGGUCUUGGUCAUUUCCCAUUGUUUAACUGCCCCACACUCAAGUAUAACCACAAAGACUCGUAUCCGUGAGUCAAAAAUGAAAACAUCCCGAAAACAAUUUUGUAAAAAUGCUGAUGAUUCUGGAAUGACUAAUGGCUGGAGAUAUAACCAUUCAAAUACAUUUACGUGUUUCUAGUGCAUAUUUUGCUUGGGUUUUCAAGAUAUUUACAUGAUUUCAGCCGAGCUGGGUACAAUGGUACAUUCCAUGUAAGCUCCAGGCCAUGUCAAAUUUUGUGUGUGUGUUUUUUUACAUACGCUGUAAAUAUACACAUGUCAAUGAACUUAGGCACAAAUUAAGAAACCUCUUAAUCCAGAACAUAAGUUGAACAGUCUUAUCCAUGACGGACGUGAAGAUUUACGUUCUUAACGCCUGCACAAAGAACUAGAUUACGUAAUAUUUUUAUCCCUUCAAGUAUAUUGUAGCAUAUAACGAUUCUUUGUAAACACAAUUUCUUAAUAUUAUACUGUAUAUUAGCUUUUACCAUGUAUUUUAAAUGUAAACUCUGUACAAUUCAGCUGUUAGUUCAUUAAUUGCC